rnacentral:rRNA from 1 species
AUGCCGGAGAACCCUGUCUUCAAGGAUUCGUUUAAUGUGGUCCAUAUUGAUGAAAAGUGGUUUUAUCGUACAAGGAAAACCCAGGGGGUUUAUUUGGGCAUUAACGAGCCGAACCCCGUGAGGCACGCCAAAAACAAGGGACACAUUGAGAAGAUCAUGUUUCUUGCUGCUGUUGCUAGGCCAAGAUAUGAUAUGCAAGGCAAUUGUACUUUUGAUGGUAAAAUUGGAAUUUGGCCCUAUGUUGAGUGGAAACCAUCACAGAGGAGAAGCCCAAACAGGCCUAGAGGAACGUUGGAGCUCAAGCCAUGCGAUAAAGUCGGCAUGGAGAAGAGCCGGGAAUACUUGAUCACGAAGGUGUUGCCGGCAAUCAAGGAGAAGUGGCCGCAAGAGGAUCGGUACAAGCCUAUUUUCAUCCAACAGGACAAUGCCAAGACACAUGUUCGACCAGAUGAUCCGGCGGUGUGUGCGGCAGCUGCUCAAGGUGGUUGGGACAUUAGGGUUGUGAUGCAGCCACCUAAUUCUCCGGACACUAACGCCCUAGAUCUUGGCGUGUUCAACUCUCUUCAGUCCGAAUGCAGUCCUCCUUGGCACCACGAAUCCCUCCUCCCUGCCGAGCACACCCGGUCGCUGGUUCACCAAUGCCGUGGCGUCGUCGACGAGCGCCGUGACGGUGUCCAUGAGAGCCUCCACCUGGUCCAGCAGCGCCCCAAGGUCUGGACCCUCCUGGGCGAGCGCGAGGAUGCCCUGCGCGACGUCGAGCACGUCGUGGGCAUGCGCGAGGAUGCCCUGCCCCACGUCCAGCACGCCGCCCUGCAUGUAGCCAUCAUGUAA